ensembl:lncRNA
UGUGUGUGUGUGUGUGUGUGUGUGUGUGUGUGUGUGUGUGUGUGUGUAGGUAUCUAUAUGUGUGUGUGUGUGUGUGUAUCUAUGUGUGUGUGUGUGUGUGUAUGUGAGUGUGUAGGUAUCUAUGUGUGUGUGUGUGUGUGUGUGUGUGUGUGUGUGUGUGUGUGUGUGUGUGUGUGUGUGUGUGUGUGUGUGUGUGUAUGUAUGUAUCUAUGUGUGUGUUUCUAGGGCAGGGUGAUUUGUGUUGUCUGGGCGUUGUCCAGGGGAUAAACUUGGCAGACA